CAUGCAAGUCGAACGGAGUUAUGAUGUGAGCGGGAAGUGCUUGCACUAAACAAUCUUUUCAUAACUUAGUGGCGGACGGGUGAGUAACGCGUGGGUAACCUGCCCUGUACUGGGGGACAACAGUUGGAAACGACUGCUAAUACCGCAUAAGCGCACGGGAUCGCAUGAUCGUGUGUGAAAAACUCCGGUGGUACAGGAUGGACCCGCGUCUGAUUAGCUGGUUGGUGAGGUAACGGCCCACCAAGGCAACGAUCAGUAGCCGGCCUGAGAGGGUGAACGGCCACAUUGGGACUGAGACACGGCCCAAACUCCUACGGGAGGCAGCAGUGGGGAAUAUUGCACAAUGGGGGAAACCCUGAUGCAGCGACGCCGCGUGAGUGAAGAAGUAUUUCGGUAUGUAAAGCUCUAUCAGCAGGGAAGAAAAUGACGGUACCUGACUAAGAAGCCCCGGCUAACUACGUGCCAGCAGCCGCGGUAAUACGUAGGGGGCAAGCGUUAUCCGGAUUUACUGGGUGUAAAGGGAGCGUAGACGGCAUGGCAAGUCUGAAGUGAAAUGCGGGGGCUCAACCCCUGAACUGCUUUGGAAACUGUCAGGCUGGAGUGCAGGAGAGGUAAGUGGAAUUCCUAGUGUAGCGGUGAAAUGCGUAGAUAUUAGGAGGAACACCAGUGGCGAAGGCGGCUUACUGGACUGUAACUGACGUUGAGGCUCGAAAGCGUGGGGAGCAAACAGGAUUAGAUACCCUGGUAGUCCACGCCGUAAACGAUGAUUACUAGGUGUUGGGGAUUUAUAAAUCCUCGGUGCCGUCGCAAACGCAAUAAGUAAUCCACCUGGGG
rnacentral:rRNA from 1 species